rnacentral:rRNA from 1 species
GGAGUCUGGGCCGUAUCUCAGUCCCAAUGUGGCCGUUGAACCUCUCAGUCCGGCUACUGAUCGUUGACUUGGUAGGCCGUUACCCCACCAACUAUCUAAUCAGACGCGAGCCCAUCUAUCAGCGGAUUGCUCCUUUCCCUAUUGUAUCAUGUGAUACUUAGGCAUAUGCGGUAUUAGCAGUCAUUUCUAACUGUUGUUCCCCUCUGAUAGGCAGGUUGCUCACGCGUUACUCACCAGUCCGCCACUAACCGCUCCAUUAGUAAACUAACGGUUAAGUCCGUUCGACUUGCAUGUCUUAUGUGCGCCGCCAGCGUUUAUC